rnacentral:rRNA from 1 species
UAAGACGAACCGUGCGAACGUUAUUCGGAAUCACUGGGCUUAAAGCGCGUGUAGGUGGCUUGGCACGUCUCUCGCUGAAAUCCCCUGGCUCAACCAGGGAAGUGGCGGGGAUACGACCAAGCUCGAGGGGGGUAGGGGGAACGGGAACUCACGGUGGAGCGGUGAAAUGCGUUGAGAUCGUGAGGAACGCCCGUGGCGAAAGCGCGUUCCUGGACCCCACCUGACACUGAGACGCGAAAGCCAGGGGAGCGAACGGGAUUAGAUACCCCGGUAGUCCUGGCCGUAAACCAUGAGCACUGGGUAGGGGGCUCGCCGAUGGGCUCCCUGCCGCAGCGAAAGCGUGAAGUGCUCCGCCUGGGGAGUAUGGUCGCAAGGCUG